GUACAAAACAUAAUCAAUGAAUUCAUCAAAAUGAUAUCAUGUGUUUAACAAAAUGUGUUUAUCUUUUGUCUUUACGUGUGGAUUUUGGUCGUCUACAAAGAGAUUGUUAAUGGAACAGAAAGCUGCUUAUAUUUGUAACAACUGGAAAUAUUUAUUUAUUAUGUUCUAUUGCUUGAUACGGCGUCCCAUCGUCCUAUCACACUGUUCAUCGAGACAAUAGUGUAAAUGAAAUAUGAAAUAUCACAACAAACCUACCCUUUGCCGUUCACCGUUACCGAUACCGUUCACCCGAUCUAGAUAAGACGUUCAACUUUUCCAUCCUAAACCAGCGUCCUGAACUUUGUCUGCAUGCUACGUCCUUGGGUCAUAUAUGGCUUACGAGAAUCAUAAAACUCUAGGGUCGAAAAUACAUAUCGCGCUCUCGAAAUUCUGGGUCGUGUGUUUUCGGCCUAAGAUCAGUACGGUGCGUUGUUGGAAUAGUAUUUUGCAGGUCAAUGCGAAAUUGCCGUAUUUGAACAUUUAAACGAUUUGAUGUCGCAUAUUACACCCCAGACGAGUAUGUUCCUUGUGAGCAAUACCGCAAUCUUAGUAAUACCACAUCAUCCAGUGUUUGAUCACUUUGAAUUACUACAGGCUCCUUCCAAACUUAUACUUAAAAUUAUCAUCAAAAUCGGGUUAGUUACAGCAAAUAACGAUACAACGCAUAAAGGCAUCAUUAUAAUCUUAAAAAAUGAGCGAAUAUCUUACAUUACGGGUUUGGCGAUUCAUCUAAUGACUACGGGACAUUGGGACAAUGUUUUACAAAGUUGAUAAAAAUCAAGGCUGCGUAUCUGGAAUCCAUUGAAGUGGCGCACUGACUUAGGUAAAAAACGUCGUAUUGCAAUGCAUCAAAAACGCUUGUAAAUUACUCCCGACGUAGAAUACACAAUUCAUUGUGCUGAAUAAGCAAAUACGGUAAAGCAGUGGUGGGUUUAGGGUAUCAGGGGCCCUGGGCGGUAAGACGAGUUGAGGCCCCCUGUAAAUGGUAAAUGGUGAGCGCCAGCGAAUGACGCCAGCGUCAGGGCCCCAACGUACAUCCUUCCGGGGCCCUUGUCGCUAGUACUCUGUAGUAUGCAGUAUGUGUAAAAGUAUGAUACGGGGACUAGCGAUUUCCGGGCCCUAAAACGGCGGGGCCCAAGGCGACCGCCUAGUCCGCCUACCGUUAGAUCCACCGCUGCGGUAAAGUACUCUUACUAGCUUGCUAGGUUGCUAUUCCAAGUCCAUCAGUACGUAGUGCGUGUUAUAUUAAUUAUUCCAGGUAUAGUUUUACGUAGUUGUAAAAACGUGUACGAAAUAAAACUAAAGCAGUAAAUAAUAUUCGGAAUGUAGUACCAACCUACUGACAAUAAACAAUAAGAAUGCAUAUAGCAUGCACUGCAUACUGGAGUUAUACAUGAAAUUUGAAUAGCAAAUUAAGCGAUCUUUGGCCGUUUGUGUCGGUUUAGCAUAUCAGUUUGCAGUUGUAUAGUGAUUUUUACUUUUAUGAAAUUUUCGUAGAAUAAUAAUAGUACAA